UCCCUGGUCCCCUCCCUCCAGCAGCCCCAGGGUCAAAGAAUGGGAAGGCGGCGGGUCUGGAUCCUGCCCGCCCAGCCGAGGAGCGAUGCGCGCUGUCGGAUGCGCCAAACCCAUCGCCAUUUCCAGCUUGUGCCCCACCCCGCACGGAGGAGUCACACGCGCCCGCAGCAGUCCCCGCCUCCAGCCAUGCGUGCGGCCGGAGGAGGCGCGCUGCGGCUAGACCAGGGCUAGGGAGCAUCUCAGGUCACCCCCCGCCGCCCAUGCCGGCUGCAUUAAGGACACGCAAACGCGGAGCUACAGGCCACUUAGACGCCCAUUCGGGCGCAGAGCUCGCCAGGGGCAUCGGCCCACCGCGUGCAGCAACCCCCACCCCUCCCUGCUCAGCUCAAGAUCCAGACUAACAUGGCUACCCCUCUGAUACUGUAACACUUGUAUAUCCUGGAAGACUUGUGGAUGACUGGAGAACUGAAACAUGAGCGUCUGACACCAAACUCCACAUGUACGUGUGCCCCAAGCCUUCUGGACGCACGAGUCAGUCUCUGAACAUAGCAGCUGCCGGGCCUUGUGUCUCUGAUGGGUCAACCCAAAGCCCCAGAGCUAAAAGCUCCAGACCUUUGGAAGAACCUGAACCUGAAUUUGGCAGUUUGGGUCCAUCUUCAGUAAAAUCUCUCCUAUUAAUAUCCACUGUACAGAAAUAAAGAUUAACAGUGAUUUAUUUUUGAGAA